rnacentral:lncRNA from 1 species
AAGACAUUAGCCACAUUUUAUGUGUAAGGGACCUGUAGCAAGCUGCUGGCUUACAGAGACCGGUAACAGGCAACACACAGCAGGCUGCAGCAGUCUGAAGGCUUGCAGGGGCUAUAGCCUAGCUGUGGGCAGUAGGACUUGAUUGCAAGUCCACCCAGGAGAACUGGGCCAGCUGACAGGAAUAAUUAGCUGGUACAAAGGAAAGCUUAAAAGCUCCCAGGGAAAGGAGCUGGGAGGAAGAGUUGCCUGGCUAGUGGCUGCAGCACUGGGUCAGGGUACUUCCUCAGGGUCUGGGAGGCUAGAAGCAGCAGGACCACACCAGGAAACUCACUCUGAAAGCAGAGAAGGAAGACUGAGGGGCUAGAGAACAGCAAAGAGUUUGAGUCACCUUCUCAAGAUCUAGGAAAAGGCCCAAGACUCUGAGGUAGCCCUGACUGAACUAUGUAUAUAUUUGUUAAUGGGCUUAAGGAUUUAUAUUCUGGUGUUUCCUAUGAAGUAAGUGGGCCCAGGAAAACGGAGAACUGAUUUGAGUUUUAAACGCUAUCUCAGUUGAGCAAUCCCUGACCUGCUACACUUGGUGGAGAAUGCAGGCAAUUUAAAGUGAAUGACAGUAGUUUAAAGAGACUUGCAGCAUGGAGAUGGGAGUGCUGUUAAAGGGGUGAGUGUACCCAUCUGCCCUACAUUGGGGAAGUAAAGGAUAUUAAGUGGGAAGCAAAGGCUAGUACAGACCAUGAUGCCUUAGCAGAGCUAAGACGUGACCUGUUUGGGUCUCAGCUAUUUUCCAAAGAGGCAGCAUGUCUGUGAUGGGAGCUGGAGGUGGAAUGCCAAACCUGCAAGCAAACUGAAACUGAAGUAGCUGCCUUGAGAUGGCAUGUGCUGACAGGAAGUAAAGAGGGGAAAAAAUAAAGAUUUGCGAUGCCUGUUAGCAGCUGAGAUGGAGAGAAAUAAAGAGAUCAAGCAGCUAACUGCAGCAGAAUCUGAGAAGAGCGUAAGCAAGAAGAGAAGCUGUGAGCCCUUCAAGAGAAGGCAGCAUCUGUUUUUGCAACAGACCAGACAAUCUAAGAAGAGGGAGAAACAUACAGGGAAGUGCCCUUCACAUUCAUAUGUCUGGCUUCAUCAGAAAGAGCUGAUUGGAAAUAUGUUUUACCAAACUGCCAUUAAAUUGAUAGCUUCCAAACUACUAAAGCUUGAACUCACAGCUAAGUUGAUAUCAAAGACAAAACCUCCCCUCUCCUGUUCCAUGUGCAAACAAAGCAAGC